rnacentral:rRNA from 1 species
AGUGGCGGACGGGUGAGUAACGCGUAAGAAUCUAACUUCAGGACGGGGACAACAGUGGGAAACGACUGCUAAUACCCGAUGUGCCGCAAGGUGAAACCUAAUUGGCCUGGAGAAGAGCUUGCGUCUGAUUAGCUAGUUGGUGGGGUAAAGGCCUACCAAGGCGACGAUCAGUAGCUGGUCUGAGAGGAUGAGCAGCCACACUGGGACUGAGACACGGCCCAGACUCCUACGGGAGGCAGCAGUGGGGAAUUUUCCGCAAUGGGCGAAAGCCUGACGGAGCAUCGCCGCGUGAGGGAGGAAGGUCUUUGGAUUGUAAACCUCUUUUCUCAAGGAAGAAGUUCUGACGGUACUUGAGGAAUCAGCCUCGGCUAACUCCGUGCCAGCAGCCGCGGUAAUACGGGGGAGGCAAGCGUUAUCCGGAAUUAUUGGGCGUAAAGCGUCCGCAGGUGGUCAGCCAAGUCUGCCGUCAAAUCAGGUUGCUUAACGACCUAAAGGCGGUGGAAACUGGCAGACUAGAGAGCAGUAGGGGUAGCAGGAAUUCCCAGUGUAGCGGUGAAAUGCGUAGAGAUUGGGAAGAACAUCGGUGGCGAAAGCGUGCUACUGGGCUGUAUCUGACACUCAGGGACGAAAGCUAGGGGAGCGAAAGGGAUUAGAUACCCCUGUAGUCCUAGCCGUAAACGAUGGAUACUAGGCGUGGCUU